rnacentral:lncRNA from 1 species
AACAUGUACCAGCCAAUUACCAGGUGAGAGUAAGGGUCUCUAUACUUUAUAGGGUGAUUGGAGAACAUCUCACUGGGCAGAGACGUGAAGGAAUGAGGGAGUGAGUCCUAUGGUCAUUGGAAGUCAAGGUGAAGAGCAUUCUUGGAGGAGGGAACAUAGGCUCCACACCCAGCAUGGAUCACAAGGCAGGGCUUGAACUCAUGACCCUGGGAUCAAGACCUGAGCUGAGAUCAAGAGUCAGACGCUCAACCAACUGAGCUACCCAGGCCUCCUGUAUUUAACUUUUAAAUUUGUGCAGACUUUCCAUAACUGAACUAAAAAAGACUGUCAUUUCUCUUUCUUAGCACCUGGAACAAUGCCUUUCAUGUAAUAGGUUCUUAAGAUGUGAGUGUUGAAUAAAAUAGGAUGAAGAGUCUAUAUUUUUG